GAUGAACGCUGGCGGCGUGCUUAACACAUGCCAGUCGAACGAUGAAGCUGGAGCUUGCUCUGGUGGAUUAGUGGCGAACGGGUGAGUAACACGUGAGCAACCUGCCCCUGACUCUGGGAUAACAGCCGGAAACGGCUGCUAAUACCGGAUAUGCACCAUGAACGCAUGUUCUGUGGUGGGAAAGAUUUUUCGGUUGGGGAUGGGCUCGCGGCCUAUCAGCUUGUUGGUGAGGUAAUGGCUCACCAAGGCGUCGACGGGUAGCCGGCCUGAGAGGGUGACCGGCCACACUGGGACUGAGACACGGCCCAGACUCCUACGGGAGGCAGCAGUGGGGAAUAUUGCACAAUGGGCGAAAGCCUGAUGCAGCAACGCCGCGUGAGGGAUGACGGCCUUCGGGUUGUAAACCUCUUUUAGCAGGGAAGAAGCGAGAGUGACGGUACCUGCAGAAAAAGCGCCGGCUAACUACGUG
rnacentral:rRNA from 1 species